rnacentral:rRNA from 1 species
UACGUAGGGUGCAAGCGUUAAUCGGAAUUACUGGGCGUAAAGCGUGCGCAGGUGGUUUGUUAAGAGCGAUGUGAAAUCCCCGGGCUCAACCUGGGAACUGCGUCGCUGACUGGCAAGCUAGAGUGUGGCAGAGGGGGGUGGAAUUCCACGUGUAGCAGUGAAAUGCGUAGAGAUGUGGAGGAACACCGAUGGCGAAGGCAACCCCCUGGGCUAACACUGACACUCAUGCACGAAAGCGUGGGGAGCAAACAGG